rnacentral:lncRNA from 1 species
GAGGUAUGUGAUAAGACAGUUUCUUAACGUCGGUGCUUCAGGAAACCGACGUCUACUAAGUUGCAAUUAAUGCUAAACAUCAAAUUCCUAGGAGCUUAGACGUCGACUAGAAAGGGCACCGACGUCUAUGUCAUUGACAGGAAAUCAAACGUCAACUGGUUCAGCUUUAGACGUCGAAUAGACGUCGGAUCCCGUGAAAAAGCAACGUCGAUUGGGCUACAAUUAAUGUUGUUCACCUAAUGCCCUAGGCAAUUAGACGUCACGUAGUCAAACGCCGACGUCUAAGGCCUGUCUGGAAGGCGGGAAGACAAAAAUUCUUCAAUGUAGACGUCAGUUCUGAGGGGCACCGACGUCUAAUUUCCUGUAUUUUCACCAAAUUCGAGGGUUUUAGACGUUGGCUAUGAGGGGCACCGACGUCAACUACCCUGACAGGAAACCAAAACGUCAAUCUUUUCAGCUUCCUAGACGUCGAUUUCUAGUGUAACCGACGCCCCAUUUCAUUUUAAAUAGACGGCAAACUCUUCUCGACAUUCAGUUUCUGAUCGCGUCUUCAUCUCUUCUCCUUUUUCUCUACUUCUCCUCUUCUUUUACUCCCUUGCGCACCUCUACUUUUUAUCUCUUCUGGCAUUGCAUUGUAUUUUCUCAUAACGUCAUUAUCUCCGUCCUCUCCUUUUUCUCUCUUCAUCUCAGGUGCAUGGUUUUUCUUAUGCUUACCAUUUAAACUUUCUUUAGUUUUUUAUCGAUUAUCUUGUCGUUUAACUGAUUAAAAAUUGCUUUCUUUGUGUUGUGUUUUAGUGCAGUUUUGCUCCUCUCUUUGGGUAACAUAAUGCAACAUUCUCCCUUUGCUGGUUUCCUCACAAGAAGAGUGGCGAUCUUUUGAGUUUUCUAGUUCUUCCGACC